rnacentral:snRNA from 1 species
GUGCUCACUCCAGCAGCCUAUGUACUAAAAUUGGAACCACACAGAGAGUAGCCUCCCUCCUUGUGCAAGGACAACAUGGAAAUUUGUAAAGCAGUCCAUGUUUUU